GACGAACGCUGGCGGCGUGCCUAAUACAUGCAAGUCGAGCGAAUCAAAGGGAGCUUGCUCCCUGAGAUUAGCGGCGGACGGGUGAGUAACACGUUGGCAACCUGCCUAUAAGACUGGGAUAACUUCGGGAAACCGGAUCUAAUACCGGAUAAUUCAUAUCUACUCAUGUAGAUGUGCUGAAAGACGGUUUCGGCUGUAACUUAUAGAUGGGCCCGCGGCGCAUUAGAUAGUUGGUGAGGUAACGGCUCACCAAGGCGACGAUGCGUAGCCGACCUGAGAGGGUGAUCGGCCACACUGGGACUGAGACACGGCCCAGACUCCUACGGGAGGCAGCAGUAGGGAAUCUUCCGCAAUGGACGAAAGUCUGACGGAGCAACGCCGCGUGAGUGAUGAAGGUUUUCGGAUCGUAAAACUCUGUUGUUAGGGAAAAACAAGUACCAGAGUAACUGCUGGUACCUUGACGGUACCUAACCAGAAAGCCACGGCUAACUACGUGCCAGCAGCCGCCGUAAAAC
rnacentral:rRNA from 1 species